GUAUGAACCAAGGAGACAGCAUCCCUACUGGAGUCUGCUCUGAAGUGGUUUGUACCCAAACCGAUUCUGGGGCCACUUUCAGAGAUGAGCGAAUCAACGGCUGUGAGGAUUCCAGUGCACGUGUCAGCCAGUGGGAGCCACCGGCUUCUCUUACGUCUUCAAAGAUGGCCGCGUUGGCGACAACUGCGAAUGCCAAUACGUGGAGGAAGACGGUGAGAUGAAGUACAAGACCAGCUGCGGAGGGAUGUAAAACAAGGGAGAAUACCGGGCCUAAUGUCCUGAAAUCAUGUUCAAUAAAAAUGGACAAACAACA